GGACCUGCGUUGAGUUUUACUAAUUAACUCGCCUGCCAUGUGGUUUUCUUAAUCAGUUAAUUGGUUGCAUCUGGUGCGUUUCACUUAAGAGGGAACCGGACAGUUCGUUUUUGUCCUCCACUGUUGGGCAGUGUAGCGUCUCCCAAACGCGGUAUGUUGUGUUCCCAGAAACCCCAACGUGUGUGUACUGUUUUGAAUUCUGUUGUGACUUAUUUGACAUCUCUUCCUGUUUCACAAGUUGAAGACUUUUUGAAGUGAAGAGGAGCAUCUCAUCUGAACCUGAUGUCUAUCAUGGAUAUUUAACUGCAGUUCUGUGUCUGCCUCCUCACCCAGAGCAAGACCUCCACCUCCUAGCCCAGAGCCAGACCUCCACCUCCGGCCAGAAGUCCUCCAAAACAGCUGAAAGGUGAGGCUGAGAGGCUGGGGACCGGAGGCUUGUGGUGCCAGGAUGGACCAGAGACUGAGGCUGGAGACCAGGGGCCUGCAGCACCGGACCAGAGGACCAGGAAUAUAUGUCUGGGGGAGCCGAGCUGAUGGAGGAGUCGUGCUGAAGGCCCUGCCUGGUGGAGGAGCUGGUGGAGGUCCUGCCUGGUGAAGGACGUCUGUCGUGGGGUUGAAGCAAGUCUUCCGCUGUUUGUUCCAGACCAGGAAUCUGUCUGAGGAGAGCUGCUGUAUUCCUCAACGUGUUUCUGGAGCGGAGGCGAGCUGGUAGGGGAGCCGUGAAUCUGGAGGAUGACCAUCACUCUACCAACAAGGAUUACUUUAGGGCCAGACUCGCGCUGUUUGUUCCGGACCAGGACUCUGGCUGAGGAGAGCUGAUGGAGGAGCCAAGACUCGAGCGAAGAGGACGACAUCACUCCACCAACCAGGAUCCUCAGACAAAUUACGUUUGUAACCAGACCAGGAAUCUGGAGGACUGAUGGAGAAGCCGUACAUCUGGAAGGCAAAUCCUGAGGACAACCAGGACUCUACCAUAAAGGAUUCCUCACACACCUGAGCUGAUCCUCUUUGGUCGGGGGUAGACACACCUGAGCUGAACCCGACCUGAUCCUGACAUCCUGCUGGUCCCGUCUCCUCAGUUCAUCUGCGCCUCGUCCUCCAGAAGACCUGCUGAGCUCAGCAGUCUGAGGCUGAUGUAUCAAUGACCUCCAGUGGGAGUUAUCUUCUUGACCCCACAUACUUUAGGGCCAGACUCACGCUGUUUGUUCUGGACCAGGACUCUGGCUGAGGAGAGCUGAUGGAGGAGCCAAGAGGACGACAUCACUCCACCAACCAGGAUCCUCAGACAAAUUACGUUUGUAACCAGACCAGGAAUCUGGAGGACUGAAGGAGAAGCCGUACACCUGGAAGGCAAAUCCUGAGGACAACCAGGACUCUACCAUCAAGGAUUCCUCACACACCUGAGCUGAACCUCACCUGAUCCUCUUUGGUCAGGGGUAGACACACCUGAGCUGAACCCGCCCUGAUCCUGACAUCCUGCUGGUCCUGUAUCCUCUGUUCAUCUGCGCCUCGUCCUCCAGAAGACCUGCUGAGCUCAGCAGUCUGAGGCUGAUGUAUCAAUGACCUCCAGUGGGAGUGAUCUUCUUGACCCCACAUGUAACGUGUGCUUCCACACGCCUUUCCCUCACGUCUGUCACUAACCUCACUAAUUCACUACUCUACUGCUUCUUCUUCUUCCUUCUCUGUUGUUCGAACCUUUACACUGAAGGCGCGUCUUCCUGCCCUCAGAGGGUUCAGCGUUAGGGUUGAGAGUCAGGGUUUAGAGUCAGGGACAGAGCUGGUCAGGGAGGACUGCUUUUACACAAACCUCUUCACUUCCUUUCGGAAUGGUGGUGACAUUUUGAAAAGAUUAAUUUGGGAAAAUGUUUUCCUCUGCUUUCUUUUACAAAAUUGUACUAAACUUCUGUCAAGUGUUUUUGUUUAUGUAUUAAAAUCCCACAUUGACUUCUACAUGUUUGGUACGGUUAAUUUAAUUGUCCUUUAACUUGGUUAAUGUCAAGCUAAACUCCUGCAAAACAUUUAAUGUAUGAUUGUUAUUCAGCAAUGUUCACAUAAUCUAUUGUAAAAAUAUUAAACCUCCAUAUUACUACAAAAUUCAAGCCUAU